AGCAUGGUCUUAGCUUGCUAAGGCCGAUGGCGACCGGCGCACGGGUGAGUAACACGUAUCCCAUCUGCCGUCUACUCUUGGACAGCCUUCUGAAAGGAAGAUUAAUACAAGAUGGCAUCAUGAGUCCGCAUGUUCACAUGAUUAAAGGUAUUCCGGUAGACGAUGGGGAUGCGUUCCAUUAGAUAGUAGGCGGGGUAACGGCCCACCUAGUCUUCGAUGGAUAGGGGUUCUGAGAGGAAGGUCCCCCACAUUGGAACUGAGACACGGUCCAAACUCCUACGGGAGGCAGCAGUGAGGAAUAUUGGUCAAUGGGCGAGAGCCUGAACCAGUCAAGUAGCGUGAAGGAUGACUGCCCUAUGGGUUGUAAACUUCUUUUAUAAAGGAAUAAAGUCGGGUAUGCAUACCCGUUUGCAUGUACUUUAUGAAUAAGGAUCGGCUAACUCCGUGCCAGCAGCCGCGGUAAUACGGAGGAUCCGAGCGUUAUCCGGAUUUAUUGGGUUUAAAGGGAGCGUAGAUGGAUGUUUAAGUCAGUUGUGAAAGUUUGCGGCUCAACCGUAAAAUUGCAGUUGAUACUGGAUAUCUUGAGUGCAGUUGAGGCAGGCGGAAUUCGUGGUGUAGCGGUGAAAUGCUUAGAUAUCACGAAGAACUCCGAUUG
rnacentral:rRNA from 1 species